rnacentral:rRNA from 1 species
AGAGAGAGACAUGCGAGCAUAUCAAUAAGCGGAGGAAAAGAAACUAACUAGGAUUCCCUCAGUAACGGCGAGUGAAGCGGGAAGAGCUCAAAUUUGAAAUCUUCAAGGUUCUACCUUGACGAAUUGUAGUUUAAAGAAGUGUUUUCUGUUGGAGUUUUGGUAAAAGUUCUUUGGAAUAGGACAUCAUAGAGGGUGAGAAUCCCGUAUUUGACCAUUAUUUCCAGCUUUGUGAUACACUUUCAAAGAGUCGGAUUGUUUGGGAGUGCAGUCCAAAAUGGGUGGUAAAUUUCAUCUAAAGCUAAAUAUUGGCGAGAGACCGAUAGCGAACAAGUACCGUGAGGGAAAGAUGAAAAGAACUUUGAAAAGAGAGUUAAACAGUACGUGAAAUUGUCAAAAGGGAAGCGUUUGACACCAGUGUUGUUUUUCUGAAAAUCAAUUAAAGAACUGUUUAUGCUAAGCUGUUUAGACUUUAUCAGCUAAUCUGUUUAGUUUUGAGCUUUUCUUUAAUGCACUUUUCAGUUAACAAGUCAACAUCAAUUUCUUUUGCUGUAAAAAAGCUUGAGGAAGGUGGCUUGAGAUUCGUCUUAAGUGUUUAUAGCCUCUUGCCUAUGCAGUCGGAGAGAUUGAGGUCUGCAGCGUAGAUCCUUCGGGGUUAAAUAGCAUUUGUGCUAAGUUAUAGCCUUUCAUAGACAACUUGUUGACUAUGAUCAGUCAUGUAGCUUACUCGCUAUGCUAUUUUACCUACGCUUAGGAUGUUGAUGUGAUACUGCGAGCA